rnacentral:rRNA from 1 species
GUGUCAGCCGCCGCGGUAAUACCAGCUCCCCGAGUGGUCGGGACGUUUAUUGGGCCUAAAGCAUCCGUAGCCCGCCCUGUUGGUCCCAGGUUAAAUCCAAUCGCUCAACGAUUGGGCCGCAUGGGAUACCGCAGGGCUAGGAGGCGGGAGAGGCGGACGGUACUCCGCGGGUAGGGGUAAAAUCCACUGAUCCGCGGAAGACCACCAGUGGCGAAGGCGGUCCGCCAGAACGCGCUCGACGGUGAGGGAUGAAAGCUGGGGGAGCAAACCGGAUUAGAUACCCGGGUAGUCCCAGCUGUAAACGAUGCGAGCUAGGUGAUGGAGUGGCUACGUGCCAUUCCAGUGCCGCAGGGAAGCCGUUAAGCUCGCCGCCUGGGGAGUACGGUCGCAAGGCUGAAACUUAAAGGAAUUGGCGGGGGAGCACCACAAGGGGUGAAGCCUGCGGUUCAAUUGGAGUCAACGCCGGGAACCUUACCAGGAGCGACAGCAGGGUGAAGGUCAGGCUGAAGACCUUACCAGACGAGCUGAGAGGAGGUGCAUGGCCGUCGUCAGCUCGUGCCGUGAGGCGUCCUGUUAAGUCAGGCAACGAGCGAGACCCUUGCCAUUAAUUGCUUCCAUCGCCCGCAAGGGUGGCGGGGCUAGUUAGUGGGACUGCCGUCGCCAAGACGGAGGAAGGAAAGGGCCACGGCAGGUCAGUAUGCCCCGAAACUCCUGGGCCACACGCGGGCUGCAAUGGUAGGCACAAUGGGUUCCGACCUCGAAAGGGGGAGGCAAUCCCCAAAUCCUACCUCAGUUGAGACUGAGGGCUGCAACCCGCCCUCACGAAUCUGGAAUCCCUAGUAACCGCGUGUCAACAUCGCGCGGUGAAUACGUCCCUGCUCCUUGUACACACCGCCCGUC